CCUACGGGAGGCAGCAGUGAGGCAUAUUGGUCAAUGGACGAGAGUCUGAACCCGCCAAGUAGCGUGAAGGAUGACUGCCCUAUGGGUUGUAAACUUCUUUUAUAUGGGAAUAAAAUGUUCCACGUGUGGGAUUUCGUAUGUACCAUAUGAAUAAGCAUCGGCUCACUCCGUGCCAGCAGCCGCGGGAAUACGGAGGAUCCGAGCGUUAUCCGGAUUUAUUUGGUUUAAAGGGAGCGUAGGUGGAUUGUUAAGUCAGUUGGGAAAGUUUCAGGCUCAACCGUAGAAUAGCAGUUGACACUGGCAGUCUUGAGUACAGUAGAGGUGGGCGGAAUGCGUGGUGUAGCGGUGAAAUGCUUAGAUAUCACGAAGAACUCCGAUUGCGAAGGCAGCUCACUGGACUGCAACUGACACUGAGGCUCGAAAGUGUGGGUAUCAAACAGGAUUAGAUACCCCAGUAGUC
rnacentral:rRNA from 1 species